rnacentral:rRNA from 1 species
UACGGAGGGUGCGAGCGUUAAUCGGAAUUACUGGGCGUAAAGAGUGCGUAGGUUGUAUGAUAAGUUAUCUGUGAAAUUCCCGGGCUUAACUUGGGCACUGCAGAUAAUACUGUCGAACUAGAGUAUAGGAGAGGGUAGUGGAAUUUCCGGUGUAGCGGUGAAAUGCGUAGAGAUCGGAAGGAACACCAGUGGCGAAGGCGGCUACCUGGCCUAAUACUGACACUGAGGCACGAAAGCGUGGGGAGCAAACAGG